GAUGAAGAACGCAGCGAAAUGCGAUAAGUAAUGUGAAUUGCAGAAUUCAGUGAAUCAUCGAAUCUUUGAACGCACAUUGCGCCCGCCAGUAUUCUGGCGGGCAUGCCUGUCUGAGCGUCAUUUCAACCCUCAUGCCCCUAGGGCGUGGUGUUGGGGAUCGGCCAAAGCCCGCGAGGGACGGCCGGCCCCUAAAUCUAGUGGCGGACCCGUCGUGGCCUCCUCUGCGAAGUAGUGAUAUUCCGCAUCGGAGAGCGAUGAGCCCCUGCCGUUAAACCCCCAACUUUCCAAGGUUGACCUCAGAUCAGGUAGGAAUACCCGCUGAACUUAAGCAUAGCAAUAAGCGGAGGA
rnacentral:misc_RNA from 1 species